rnacentral:rRNA from 1 species
GAUGAACGCUGGCGGCGUGCCUAAUACAUGCAAGUCGAGCGAACAGACGAGGAGCUUGCUCCUCUGACGUUAGCGGCGGACGGGUGAGUAACACGUGGAUAACCUACCUAUAAGACUGGGAUAACUUCGGGAAACCGGAGCUAAUACCGGAUAAUAUAUUGAACCGCAUGGUUCAAUAGUGAAAGACGGUUUUGCUGUCACUUAUAGAUGGAUCCGCGCCGCAUUAGCUAGUUGGUAAGGUAACGGCUUACCAAGGCAACGAUGAGUAGCCGACCUGAGAGGGGGAGCGGCAACAUUGGAACUGAGACAGGGACAGGACUCCAAGGGAGGGAGCAGGAGGGGAUUCUCGGGAAUAGACGGAAGGCUGAACGAGCAAAGCCGGGUGAGUGAAGAAGGGUUUUGGAACCUAAAGCCUUGGUGAAAGAGAAGAAACAGAGGGGUAGUGAAAAGUGCACACCGUGACGGUACCUAACCAGAAAGGGACGGCUAACUACGUG